GACUCUUAGAUAUAUAUAUGUGUAGUGGGCCAAGUUCAUUUAGGCUGGGCUAAGUCUUCAUGGAUAGUCCGUGGAGCUUUAACCCAUGGAUCCUAGGAAAUGAAAGGUCAUGGGUAUUAGGGUUUAACCCUAAUCCUCCACACUAUAUAAAGAUAUCCUUGGUUGGUGAAAUGGGCACUAGUGUGGGUACACUAAGAGGGCUAGCCAAUUUCACUAGAGAGAACCAAGUAUCCAUAUUCUCUAAAGUCUUCCAAGGUGUUUUGGUGAUUUGUGAUUCCAUUUGAGGCUUCCACACUAUUGGGGCUAAGCUCUUAAAGCUUGAAGACAUCAAGCUACACCAAAAGGUAUGUCAUCUAACUAGUCUUUGUAGUAUAGUUACCUCAUAGUAUGCUAGUUAGGAUUAAAGCCUUGGAAAGUUCUUAUUUGCAUGUAUAAUAGAGAAAACAUAGAUCCAAGGUUUAUAGGGUUGCAUGUACACCAUAGGAGUGUUAGAAUGCUCAAAACCCAACAGUGGUAUCAGAGCCAUGGGUUGUUUUCUGUUAUAUUGAUGCAAAUGUUUUAUUUUAAAAGUUGAAAAAAAUGGAAAAAAAAACAUGACGUUUGUCAAAUUUUAAGAUAAUUACCUUUUUUUUGUGAAAAACUAAUUAUUUGUAAAAUUUGAAUCAUUUGCUAUAUGAGUUGAAUUAGGUCAAAUUUAGUAAAGGAUAAAAUGAUAUGAUUAUUUUAUUAGUUUUAAAAGUUUGAUCUAAAGAGUUUUUUGAAACCUCCAUAAGUUAUGGAUAUGAAAAGGUUUAAAAAAAAUUGAUUCAAAGUUUUUAUGGAGUUACAAAAUUUGGUGUUAAUGUUUUAAAGAAUUCCAUAACUUAUUCUUAAGUUAUGGAACAUGAAAAGUUUCAUCAUAAAACAAACAUUUAACUCCAUAAGUUAUGGAUUACCAAAAGUUUUAUGUUUCCUUGUUUUAUGAGUUAUUUUUUAGAUUAAUGAAAAAUAUGUGUUAGAUGUUUUCAAUCCAAAUUAAUCUAAAAGUUGUUCAUAAAAUGUGUUUUUGUAACUUGUCCUCAAGUUAUAUGAAAAGUCACAUUUAUGAAUCUUAAAAACUCAUAAAAAUGCCUUAGGUUAUAAAAAAAUGAAGAGUCUUUUCUUAUAAAUAGUUUUUAUGGCUCCAUAACUUGUCCUCAAGUUAUGGAUGUCCAAGAGUCUCUUCAUUAAAAGUUUUAAUACUUUAAUUAAAACUCAUAAGUUAUGAAAAUCCAAGAGUUUUGAAUAGUUUCAAAACUUGCCCUCAAGUUUUGGAAUUUGAAAAGUUUUCUUUUAUGAAUACUUUAAUUCCAAGUUAAGCCCUUAGAAUUUUAAAGAGUUAAAAUUCAACCCUUAUACUUUAUAAUAUUAUAAGUUAAUAAUAUUUAUAUAUAUGUAUAAGAGUAAAGUCAGUCUUACCGUUAGUAGGCCUCAUUCACGAAGCCGGUCUAUAAGGGGGGUAUAAGGUUACUGCCUAUAAAAUGGCAGUUUAAUGGGUGUCCACUCUCACCCACCGCUUCCUUGACCGGUGGAGGGUCGUUAGCCGAACGGGUAGGACAAGGACUAUAAUUCUCCCUUCAUUAAAAGUAUUAAUGAUAAAUACUAAGUAACUAAACUCUUAAUAAUACCCAAUCUUAGUUACUUAGGAAAAUGUGAAUAAGGUGCUAAUCCAUGAAAUUACACUUUGCACUUUGUUUAAGUCGGUUAGUGGAGCGUGUGUGGUUAACCGGCACACUAAAUCGUAUUUAACAAGGUAGGCAAACGGUAACUUAAUGUUUAUCAUAGUAUCGAUGGAGUGUGUGUGGUUAACCGGCACAUCGAUUGAGGGGUAAACACUUAAGGGUACCAAGUAAUUUGCAUGGUUACUUCACACCUUGUUUUGUGAUCCUCGGCAUCCCAGUCACAAAACCUAGAGGGCACACUCGAGAUUGAAACAUGCCAUUGAAAAGUUCAAUGAAUCUCAAAGAUCUAGGAAUUUCAAAUCCAAUUAAAACCUAAUUAAUUAUUUCGUUUUUCAUGGUGGAAAUUGGUGAAUCGUCAUUCACCUACCUUCAAAUAUUAUAUAGCUUGGAUUACGACAUCCCUCUUCCAAGUUAUAAAAUAGUUUGUUGGGUGCUAGCCUUAAUAUUUCAUAUUGGGUGUUAUAUUAAGGACGUUAAAUCAACUAUCUUGAAUAUCUCCCAAAAGAUGUCUAGUUUAGACAUUUAUGAUCUUCCCAAAUCUCUUGAAACAAGCUUUCCUAAAUGAAGAUGNCUAUUUUCCCUAACCCGCAAGUUCAAGGUCACUCAAGCCCUAUUGGCAAGGCAAGGUCUAGGUGUGAUCACAUCUUGGAGAUGAAGUCACAUGCUGACAAGCCGGGAGAGUUGGGUGUCAAAGUCUUAAGAAAGUUAGUGGUUCAAUUAUUUUCUAAGUCACAUAGUGAGUUUGUUUGGAACUCCUAUGAAACAGAGUAUGACAAGACUCGUAAUGAUCUUAUCUAUAUGCUUAGAUCAUCUUCCUAAAACUUUAUGGACAUUGACAAUGAUGACAUUGGAUAUCCAGUAAAGCUCUCUCUUCCCAGUGGAAAGGGAUCGGCCAUAGUCAACUGGGUUGACCAAAUAGUAAAGAGAAAAGCUAAGUCUGUGAUAGUCCCGUGUACCAUUAUCAAAGGGUCCAUAUGUUUAUAUUGCCAAAGGACGGGAAAUUGGUUGCAAAUCUACCAAUUUACCUAAGGGUGUUAAAGUCAAUAAGUUUGGCUCUACUUUAGGUAAAUUCCACUAUCUAACUCUGCUAAGUUUCUAUUCUGAGAUUCUUACUACAUGAUGUGACUGGUUCACAUGUUGAUGUUUUAAGAAUCAAAGAAAAGUAAAGGAACUUAAAGAAAGAAUAUGUUGAAUCUGAUUGCGUAGAUGAAUUUCUAUCGCGUAGUUUGAAGAUCGGAUUCUUGAACUACUUCUUAGGAAUUAUGAGAUAUUGCUUAGGAAUAGAUAACAACAAGUUUUCAUAUGGAUUGUAAGGAUAAGUUUUUCCGCAAAGUUUUAAAAUAAAAGAAAAUUUUUGAUUUUAUUUAUUUUAAAAUAUCCUUACAAUGGCAUUUGAGGAAAAAUUGUUGCUUAUAUGAUUCCAUUAAUAGCAAGAGUGGAAAUAUGAAAUUGAUUCUUUCAUUUGUGGUAAUGUCUAAAUUUACCAAAUAAGGAAAGAUUCUCAUCACCCAAGUUUCAAUUGGACCGGAACUUGGAAUCAUGCAAGUUGUAUAGCAUGAUGAAUGAGAACUUUCAAGUAUUGGAAAAUUAAGACUAAUUACUUGUUCACAUGGAUGUGUGAGUCAAGUGAAGGACUAAGGGAUCGAGUACACAUUCUUGUGCACUGGUCAAGUCCACCACAAAAGAUCGAUAAGAUUAUUCGUCAUAAUUUACUAAAGCUCAGUAAAUAUGGUUAUACUUACAAGCUUAAGUGUAAUUCUGAGACAUUGGAAAAGGUUCCAAUGUAAGGCAGAGCGAAUAAGAAGAAUCAAAUUAGGCAGAAGGAUAAAAGUUUCUCAAAUCUAAAAAGAUGGGAGAGUACUUUAGUAUCAGUUUUUAUGAUCAUCUUACUGAUUUAGAGACCUUAUCACAAUUCAUCCUCUAAGUGCCUUCUUAUAGCUAAGAAGAGGAGCUAUGAAAUGUUGAAGUGGUUAAAUCAAGAAGAUGAUUCAUACUUCGUUCCAAAAAAACAAUUCUUAGAGUCAUACUCCAAGAUUGUAACUUAAGUGACAUGUCUUAAAGAAGGUUUAAAACACUUGUCAAAUGUAAGAGUAAAAGUUUUCUACUCUUGUACAUUUGAAAUUCGUAAGUUGUGAUGUUUUGGAUCAAAAAAAGACCAACUAAAGCAAAUUGGGUGAAGUGUCUGUCUUGAUUAGAAUCCACACUAUCUCUUGAAUAUUUGACAAGAAAGUCUUAUAGGUCAAGGAGACAGUGGGAGUCUAAAAGAUCCUGAAAUGGUUUCAAAAAGUAAUCAAGAAAAAAAAACCUGUAUUUCAUCACUAGCACACAACUAGAGGUUUAUAACCUAUCAUGUUGGCAUUUCAGUUCCCAUUCCAGUUAAAGUUGGCUUUGCAUACGAGUUCUUAUAGUUCUCAAUUGGUUGCAAAACAACUUGGAAGCAAUGGCAGGCCCUUGAGCUGCCAGGUGGCAAGAAGUUAAGAUUGCACAAGUUCAAUCCAUAUGAGUUAGGAUUUGUCACCAACCUAGUCCUGUGAUUAUGGUUUUGACAAAUUCACAUGGAUAGGAACACUUACACCAUAAAAUCUAAGUGUCAUAAGGUUUCUCUUCGAUUCAUGAAAAUGAUGGUAAGGAAACUCUUUCACUAAGUAGAUUUUAAGUAGAUAGCAAUUGUGAUAUUUGCAGUUCUCAAAGUCGUUAGUGGAGCGUGCGUGGUUAACCGGCACACUAACAUUGACUUAUGAGAAAUGGCAAAAGGUCUAAACAAUUUAGACUAUGAUUACGGCAUCCCUUUUCAUAGUUCUGAAAUUAUUUAGACACACUUGUGAGCUAUCUAAGAGAGGUGUAUGAUUUUGAUAAAGUCUUAUCAAGGCAAUCUAGUAUCAGAAAUCUGAACUUUGGUAAGAAAGUCAAUAAAGUAUUGAUUUCUAGAAGUCCAGUAGAUUUCUGGGUACAUGUCAAAGCUAGUGGGAGCAUAAGUGUUAUGCUAUUAAUCAUCAUGUUAGUGGGAGCAUGAUAAUUAUGAUAAAGGUUGCAAGUUAGCAAUGUUAAUUAUAGAAAACAAAAGGUUUCAAUUGGGAAAAAGUUGUUUUGCUAUAAUUAAGGGAGAGGAAAUUAUACUUCAUCUCAAAUCUAAAAGCUUAGAUUGAGGUUUUAAUCGUAUUUAGUCAAGAAUAUAUAUGAAUUUCAUGUUGGAAUGGCUCAACAUAAGGAAAUUCUAUAUAUGGGUUCAUUAUUUGCGUUCUAAAAUUCGAUUAUGAUUACGGCAUCCCUUUUCAUAAUCUGAAUUAUGAGAACUUGGCAAAUAGAAAUGGAAAUAUUAUAGCAAAAGACUGGUUUAGUCUUUAUGUGAGACAUCAUGAAUCGUGUCCCAUAUGCUUCGGAUAUAGGAUCGAUUACAUGUGCUAUAUUCAUCCUUUCUAAAAUUUUCCAAAUGCCUGGGGCAUUAAGAAGGGAAAAGGUCUAGAACUGGAUAUGACUAAAAUGAUUAAGCAAUUGUUGAGGACAAUCUAAGGUUUACCAAAGAUUGGUUGCUCAAGGACAGUUGGAAGUAUAGUGUUGACUUUGGAAGGACCAUAUUGACAUAGUCUGAAAAGAGGCAACUCUUGUUCGGAAGUGAUAGUCAAAAUGGAAUAUGGAAAUGGUUCAAAGUUAGAAAGUAUUCAAUCUGUAAGAUUAGGAAACUUAAUGCAAGAAGGAUGUUUCCAAGGAGUUGAUCUCCUUUGGAAUACUCUGUAAUGAUUGUUGCCAAGUCUUUGUGAAUUUGUGCAUAAUCAUUACAAGAGGAUCAAUGCAUAUAAGUUUAGAAUCUAACAGAUUUCAGUAAAUGGCAUGAAUUUGGAAUUCUUGCAUUUGCAGUAAGGAUUUGGGAGUGUGAAAAGAGAAUCAUUGAAGUUAUGUUCAAUUGAUCUAGUUCACAAAGUAAAGAUCAUAGACAAACAUAGUAUGCAUACUUGGUGUGUGGCAUGACUAGUGUUUAGAAAACAUAGUGUACAUGCUUGGAGCAUGGGACAACUAUUGUUUUAAAUUCAAGAAUAAAGUUGAUAGCUGAAACAGUAUACAAUGAAUAAUGUGUAAUCAUAUGGUGAUAAAUAAAAGGUGUUUUAUUUAUGUUCAAAGGGUUGAUACCAUAUUGGAUUCAAUUAUUAUUGUGUUUCAUUUUGCAUGUUUUGACUUCCCGAAUAAACUGGGUUAUUCUUCCGGAAUGACUAAGUUAUUCAAACCAUCCACAGUCGGUCAUAUGUUGGAAGUAGAUAUGAAUUAAGACUGUCAUGGGUUGGCUUGUAGAGGUCUAAGGUGUUGGACAAAGGGCUACAACACUCAUGAGUGCUCAUAAGUUCUGAGUAUUGGAUUCAACCCGCGCUCAUUGGAAUCACUUCAUGGAUUUUAUCACGAGUGAUCAUGAGACGAUAAUAUCUUAUAUUCUUCAAACCUAGAGAUAUGAGUUGUUACUAUGAGUUGAUAGUACAUUGAUUGCACGAAAACGCAUUUGGUAACUCGGUGCUAUAAAACGUGCCUUUGUGUAUGAUUCAACAAGUAGUAGAACAAGCCAUAUGAGUCGAAGUUUAUCCAUUCCUUUUACCUUCGGGAUAAAAGUGAUAUCUGUCGGCCCCUUGAUGAUUUAAUGAUGAUACAUGUGAGUGCUUGGACAAGCAAGGACUGAUUUGAUUUGUUCAAUCAGUCAGUCAUCAUGAAUCAGAAAUUGGGAAACAACAAAUGGAUAGAGAGAAUGAUUAUAAUCCAUGUCUCAGUCCAUAUGAUAUCUAGAAUGGAGGAAUGUAUGAUCCCUUAUCUAAUGGACAUGUUCUUGAUUUGUUCAGAGUUCGACAGCGGCUUUCNGCUACGAUUGCCAGUUAGGUUUUGAAGUCAUACUCAAUAAUAGUUUUAGACUUAUCCAAGUGGGAGACUGUUGGAUUAAUGUCUAAGUCCAUAACUAUAUUUGGUAUGUACUUGACCCGACCCGGCAUGGUCCAUUUGGGUUGCACUUCACCGGCACAAUUUAUAUGGAUAGUAUUUUCAGAAUAGUAUAUUUAUGAUUUAUAUUGAUAUAUUAUAAGUUCUAAUAUGUUAAAUAAUCAUAUUAUUUAAUUAGUAUUGAUCAAGAAUUAAUUUAUAAUUAAUUAAGUGAUCAAAAUGAACUAAUUAAAUAUGGACUCUUAGAUAUAUAUGUGUAGUGGGCCAAGUUCAUUUAGGUUGGGCUAAGUCUUCAUGGAUAGUCCAUGGAGCUUUAACCCAUGGAUCCUAGGAAAUGAAAGGUCAUGGGUAUUAGGGUUUAACCCUAAUCCUCCACACUAUAUAAAGAUGUCCUUGGUUGGUGAAAUGGGCACUAGUGUGGGUACACUAAGAGGGCUAGCCAAUUUCACUAGAGAGAACCAAGUAUCCAUAUUCUCUAAAGUCUUCCAAGGUGUUUUGGUGAUUUGUGAUUCCAUUUGAGGCU
rnacentral:lncRNA from 1 species